rnacentral:rRNA from 1 species
AGAGUUUGAUCAUGGCUCAGAACGAACGCUGGCGGCGUGCCUAACACAUGCAAGUCGAGCGAUGAUUCGCCUCCUCGGAGGCGUUGAUUAGCGGCGGACGGGUGAGUAACACGUGGGUAACCUGCCUCAAAGAGGGGAAUAGCCUUCCGAAAGGAAGAUUAAUACCGCAUAAUAUGUUUUGAUCGCAUGAUCGUAACAUCAAAGGAUUUUCUUCGGAGAUUCCGCUUUGAGAUGGACCCGCGGCGCAUUAGCUAGUUGGUGAGGUAACGGCUCACCAAGGCGACGAUGCGUAGCCGACCUGAGAGGGUGAUCGGCCACACUGGAACUGAGACACGGCCCAGACUCCUACGGGAGGCAGCAGUGGGGAAUAUUGGACAAUGGGCGCAAGCCUGAUCCAGCCAUGCCGCGUGAGUGAUGAAGGCCCUAGGGUUGUAAAGCUCUUUCACCGGUGAAGAUAAUGACGGUAACCGGAGAAGAAGCACCGGCUAACUACGUGCCAGCAGCCGCGGUAAUA